rnacentral:rRNA from 1 species
UGGACGCACCUCUGGUGCACCAGUUGUCACGCCAGUGGCACAGCUGGGCAGCUAAGUGCGGAUCGGAUAAACGCUGAAAGCAUCUAAGCGUGAAGCCGUCCUUAAGAUAAGAUAUCCCACUCUUUAUGAGUUAAGACCCCUUGUAGACUACGAGGUUGAUAGGUUCAAGGUGUAAGCGUUGUGAGACGUUCAGCCAGCGAAUACUAAUCGGUCGAGGGCUUAUCCUU